CUUUCCUGCGGAAUAGCUCCGGGAAACUGGAAUUAAUACCGCAUACGCCCUACGGGGGAAAGAUUUAUCGGGGAAGGAUUGGCCCGCGUUGGAUUAGCUAGUUGGUGGGGUAAAGGCCUACCAAGGCGACGAUCCAUAGCUGGUCUGAGAGGAUGAUCAGCCACAUUGGGACUGAGACACGGCCCAA
rnacentral:rRNA from 1 species